UAUUAAAAAAAAAUAAACGUCAAAAAUUUUUCAUCGAAAAAACGUGUUUUUCUACGAUUUUUAAUUGUUUCUAAUUGAAAUCAAUAAUUUCUCAGUCAUUAUUAAUAAGAACUACAUGUGCAUGGAUUGCCUGUUGGAUUGAUGUUUGUUUACGAAAAAAAUUCUCUCAAGUAAGUUAAUAAGUUAAUAUCGAACUUCGAACUUAUAAAGUGUUAAGCAGCAAUUACAAUAAAAGUGCUUGCUGUGGAAUCACUGGUGCUGCUCAUUAUUGUCAACUGUUACUUAAAAAGGUUAUGCCAUGCAUUAAAUUAGGAAGAUUUGUGUUGGAUGAAUUACCCAGAUAACAAUUAAAACAACUUCUAUUUAUAAGAACAUUCGAUUGGUGGAAUCCAGAUUCUGUGAAUAUAAUUAUAUUAAGUAAUUGAUUGACAAGUACACAUUUGACAAGGUGGUGAGAAACAUGUAGAUCUGGCCUGCUUACAGUGGAGUGGACAGAACCAACGUGAGAGUGAACGUGUGAAUUUAUGGAGAACAUUAAACUAUUUUACUAUAACAUAUUUUAUAUGAGUUACAUACAAAUGUCAAUCCGUGAGUACAUAAUGUAAAAACUAAAACAAUG